CCGGGAAGAUGAAGACGUCA
rnacentral:misc_RNA from 1 species